AUGUCCAACUCCAACAGGACGUACGUGCGUCAAGAAACAAGAUUCCCUUUGACAACUGACAAGAAACAAAGAAUGAAUGAAAGAAACAAGACUUGUGUCCGGCAUUGCACCGCUGGGCACUUUCAUGCUGCACCCAGGAAAGAACAAGAAACAAUUAGACACGGCCGGGCAAGGUGGUGCCACAGAACGGGACGUCCCGUAACGUUGGAGUUGGACACACACAACUUCAUCAUCAACAGCAAGGACACCACCACCCCUCCCUUCUCCGGGGAAGCUUUCCUUUCCUCCACGAUUCCAUGUUGA
rnacentral:rRNA from 1 species